rnacentral:rRNA from 1 species
UACGUAGGGGGCAAGCGUUACUCGGAUUCACUGGGCGUAAAGCGCGUGUAGGCGGCUGGUCAAGCGUGGUGUGAAAUCUCCGGGCUCAACCCGGAAACUGCACCGCGAACUGGCCUGGCUGGAGUGCAGGAGAGGGAAGGGGAAUUCCAGGUGUAGCGGUGAAAUGCGUAGAUAUCUGGAGGAAUACCGGUGGCGAAGGCGGCAUCCUGGACCGGCAUUGACGCUGAAGCGCGAAAGCUAGGGGAGCAAACGGG